UGGUGGAGUGAUUUGUCUGGUUAAUUCCGAUAACGAACGAGACUCUAGCCUGCUAAAUAGACGGCGAUCCCUUCGUGGGUCGACCCGAUUUGCUUCUUAGAGGGACAAGUGGCGUUCCUAGCCACGCGAAAUUGAGCAAUAACA
rnacentral:rRNA from 1 species